AUUGAACGCUGGCGGCAGGCCUAACACAUGCAAGUCGAACGCGUGGCGGACGGGUGAGUCAUGUCUGGGAAACUGCCCGAUGGAGGGGGAUAACUACUGGACACGGUAGCUAAUACCGCAUACCAUCGGAUGUGCCCAGAUGGGAUUAGCUUGGAGGUGAGGUAACGGCUCACCUAGGCGACUGUCCCUAGCUGGUCUGAGAGGAUGCCCAGUCAAAAUGGAAAUGAGAAAAGGUCCAGAAUCCUACGUGAGUCAGAAGUGGGGAAUAUUGCACAAUGGGCGCAAGCCUGAUGCAGCCAUGCCGCGUGGAUGAAGAAGGCCUUCGGGUUGUAAAGUACUUUCAGCGGGGAGGCGGUACCCGCAGAAGAAGCACCGGCUAACUCCGUGCCAGCAGCCGCGGUAAUUC
rnacentral:rRNA from 1 species